CUUCAAUGAUGUAACAAUUCAGUUCUGCUACCGAGUGAUCGUGAGAGAUAACAGAAAUAUACCAAAAAACUACCUGAUAC
rnacentral:snoRNA from 1 species